AUUUGACGUUAGCGACAGAAGAAGCACCGGCUAACUCCGUGCCAGCAGCCGCGGUAAUACGGAGGGUGCGAGCGUUAAUCGGAAUUACUGGGCGUAAAGCGCAUGCAGGUGGUUUGUUAAGUCAGAUGUGAAAGCCCGGGGCUCAACCUCGGAAUUGCAUUUGAAACUGGCAGACUAGAGUACUGUAGAGGGGGGUAGAAUUUCAGGUGUAGCGGUGAAAUGCGUAGAGAUCUGAAGGAAUACCGGUGGCGAAGGCGGCCCCCUGGACAGAUACUGACACUCAGAUGCGAAAGCGUGGGGAGCAAACAGGAUUAGAUACCCUGGUAGUCCACGCCGUAAACGAUGUCUACUUGGAGGUUGUGGCCUUGAGCCGUGGCUUUCGGAGCUAACGCGUUAAGUAGACCGCCUGGGGAGUACGGUCGCAAGAUUAAAACUCAAAUGAAUUGACGGGGGCCCGCACAAGCGGUGGAGCAUGUGGUUUAAUUCGAUGCAACGCGAAGAACCUUACCUACUCUUGACAUCCAGAGAACUUUCCAGAGAUGGAUUGGUGCCUUCGGGAACUCUGAGACAGGUGCUGCAUGGCUGUCGUCAGCUCGUGUUGUGAAAUGUUGGGUUAAGUCCCGCAACGAGCGCAACCCUUAUCCUUGUUUGCCAGCGAGUAAUGUCGGGAACUCCAGGGAGACUGCCGGUGAUAAACCGGAGGAAGGUGGGGACGACGUCAAGUCAUCAUGGCCCUUACGAGUAGGGCUACACACGUGCUACAAUGGCGCAUACAGAGGGCAGCCAACUUGCGAAAGUGAGCGAAUCCCAAAAAGUGCGUCGUAGUCCGGAUUGGAGUCUGCAACUCGACUCCAUGAAGUCGGAAUCGCUAGUAAUCGUGGAUCAGAAUGCCACGGUGAAUACGUUCCCGGGCCUUGUACACACCGCCCGUCACACCAUGGGAGUGGGCUGCAAAAGAAGUAGG
rnacentral:rRNA from 1 species